rnacentral:lncRNA from 1 species
GAAUUGUAAGAAGUAGCAAUAGUUCUUUUACCUUGGGAGGUGACGUUGGCUGUCUGAAUGCGUACUCUGAUGAAAAGAUCCUCGUCUAGUUUAUCAGCAAUUUCUUGCCAUCUAUAAAGGAUCUUAGUUGCACCUUGUUCUAACGUCUUGGUAACGGUAAAUACUGUCACGGUUGAUGGUACGGGAACCAAUUUUAACUUCCAGGCGGUGACAAUUUCGAAGCUCCCCCCUGCACCUCUUCUGAUGGCCCAAAAAAGAUCUUCGCCCAUGAGUUUUCGGUUGAGAAGUCUACCAUGAACAUCAAUUAGAUGUGCAUCAACGACGUUGUCCGCUCCAAGGCCAUAUUUUCGCAACAUGGCACCAUAUGUACCUCCUGAAAUGUGCCCGCCCAUACCUAAACUUGAGCAAGUACCAGCUGGGAAGCCAUGAAUUUUGCUUUUCUCAGAAAUUCUGUAGUAAAGCUCACCAUUCGUGGCUCCCACCUGAACCCACGCGCUGUUGUGCUCAAUAUCAACGCUGAUGGACCGUAGUUUUGCAAGGUCUACAACAAUGAAAGAUGUCUCAAUUUCUGAAACAUAAGAGAGUCCCUCAUAAUCAUGGCCUCCGCUACGGACUCUAAGGUGAAUUCCAAGCUGCUUAGAGCAAAUAACAACAGCUUGGAUGUGAGAUUCUUGUAAAGGAGUGAAGAUAAACUCAGGUUUCGGUACUGAAGGCAAGGUGAACCGGAGGUUUUGAGCAGAAGAUUGUAAGAGAGUAGUGAAAGAAGAGUUUUGUGGAGUAUACAAGACAGUGGAAAAAGGAAAUGAUGUUACUGAAUAUUUUGAGAGACAAUUUAUAAACCUAUCCUGAAUUGGAAGUGAAACUAUACAUGGAGAUAGGAGUAGGACCACAAGUAUUGAAAGUAUGGAAGAUCUUGAAGGCACCAUUUUUCCUGCUUUCUUGCCUCUCUAGCUUGCCUUCAAGAAUUGACGUCUCAAGGUGUUCUCUUAUAGAGAGGAGCUGUGAUGAGUUGACCGGAAAUUGUUUUAAUCCUUACAUUAUCUUAGGAAUAUAAUAUUACUCUAGCUGACAUUAGAAUUGAAUUGUUAAUCUGAACAAUUGAUAUGUCGGCAAUCUCAAAUCAUUAAGAUCAGACUUUUUGGCCAUUAAAUGUCUAAUUAAUUAAAAAUAACUCUAGCUGGUCCUGUCAUGUUUAUACAGGUAAUUAUAAACGUGAUAAUAUUCUUUAACAGUUUACGAACAAAUCAUGGUCGUUGUUUGAAAAGGCAUGAAUUGUGACUUAAAUAGUUUAAAAAGUGGCUAAUGAAUCAUGACUAUGAAAGUUAUUAAAUAAUUAUUUUAAUUUAAAAACUUAAAUAGAUGAAUUGUGUUUUAAAAAUAGUUUUAUAUUAUUUUUUAAUAUUUUUUAUGGUGAAAGUCUUUUAAAUUUAAAACUUACAUAAACUUAUUAUUAACUCUUAAUUAAAAAAAUCUGAAAUUUAAACUCUUAAUUACUUGAUUAUAAAAGCUCUAAACCAUGUUAAAGGCAACACUUAUACGUACAAUUUACUGAUGGUGAUGCUGCUGGUGAUUUUGGAGGUGAUGAUGCACAUUGUUUCCUAGCAUAUCCAGUAUGGCAAAGUGCAAUCAAUGAUUGAGAGAGUGAUUAAGAAAUUUGAACCGAGUUCAUCAAGCAAUCAUUUUAAUUUAAAAAUUAAUUUAUUAGAUGAAAAUCCAAAAAAAAAAAUUAUAUUAUUCAUUAACAACACGAAUAUUAUUCUAAGCAUUUUUUUCCUGCUAAAAGUUUGGUUGGUUGCUUUUUUAUGAUCCCAAGACAUGCUCAUGAUUAUUGUAAAAACAUUAACUAUUUACUUUUCGAAAAUUAAAUACAUUAAUUCAUUUCAAAUAAUUUCAAUUUGAAAUAAUCAAAUGAUAUAAAAACAAAGGAUAGAUGAGUUGGUCUAAUAUUUAAUUAUUAGCUUUGUUGAAUAAUAUGCAAACUCCAACAAAUCUCUUGCAAUUUUUUAAAAAGGAAUAGUGCAAGAGAUACUAAGAUUUUUUCAAUCACUUGAAUAAUAAGCUAGUGUUUGGAUUGUAAUACUGGUUUUUUUAAAAAGUGAUUUUUAUUUAAAAAUGAAUGUAUUAAAAUAAUAUUUUUUUUUAUUUUUAAAAUUUUUGUAGCCCAUCCAAACAAUUUGAAAUCAUAUACAAAACUAAACCUCUUUUUUGAGACUGCCUUCAUAAAUUUGAAUUUUGCUUUCAUUUACAAUUAUUCUGCAUGCUAAUUUUGAGAGUUGGUGGAGUUAUGCCAGUGGUAGACGGGUGAGUGACGCAUUAUAACACCUUGUAUUUUUUUGGCCACUACCUUGAUGGCCUCUUUUUUUAAUUAAUUUUUCAGUUUUGAGUUUACCCAAAGUAACUCCAAAGAAGAAAUUUAUUUGAGCCAAAACAACAUUAUUGAAAAUUAACAAUUGUGAUGCACAAAGAAUAUUUGGACUCGCUCUCUAUAAUAUCUUAGAAAGAAAAUACUCCUUUUUUUAUUACAAAAAAUAAUAUUAAUCCAAUAUAAGGUGAGGAUGAUACUGCUAGCAUUGCAUAACUGAACUGUAAUAUUAAUCCAAUAUAUCUCAUAAUUAAUCUUUCAUACAGGAUGACAAUCAGAAAAAGGCUAAUGUCCAGGUGAUACUUGAUAGUCUUCAUGCAUUUUCUCACCAAAAAUGAUGUUACAGCUCAUAGCAACCAAAAUAAUACUAUGUCUAGCUUAAUCUUUUUGAGUUAAACUGGAUUUUUGACAUUAUAGUGACGAAAAGUUUAAAGACUUUCACUUAAAAUGAUAUGUUAAAAAAUAAUAUAAAAUUAUUUUUGAACUCAUGUAACCAUUACCAGAAUAUCGAUAAAUACAAAUGGAAAUACCGAAUGAAUAUUUCCGUCGGUAAAUUUCCAAGGGAUUUUACCGACGGAAAUAUUUCCGAGAGAUUUUACCGACGGAAAUACUCCCUCGGUAUAAACCGAGGGAAAAAAAAUUAAAACAAACCAAAAAAAAUAAUGACGUGUCAUUUUUACCAACGGAAUUACCGACGGAAUAAAAAGUAUCGGUAAAUUCGUUGGUAAACUGUGAACACUGUUCAUCAUGUCAAUUACAAAGGGAAUCACAGACGGAAUUUUCCGUCGGUAUUUUUCAGAGAGCUCCAGAACUGUUCACUUUCCAAUUGCACUGUUAAUUGUUGUUCUUUACGGACAAAAUCACUGACGGAUUGAAAAUUCGUCGGUGUUAUUUGGUGGUUUUCUGAAAAAAUUCAAUUAAUUUAAAUUUUUCAUUUAAAUAUUACAAACAGAAUCACUGACGGAUUGAAAAAUUGUCGGUAAUUGUUGGCGGUUUCUGAAAACUUUUUACGAAAUUGAAAAUUUAAAUUAAAUAUUACCGAUGGAAUUACCGACGGAAUAAUUAAAAAAAAUUAAUAUUCAAUUAUCCGUCGGUAAAUUCAUCGCUAACGCGCCCCAAUAAAAAGCCUGAAUCCCUUUAUUUCACAAAAGAUAGACUCAUUUCUUAUUAUUAUUAUUAUUAUUAUUAUUCUUCACUAUAUAUAAAAAACAUCAAUAUCUAUUUCUUUCUCUUCUUUUCUCUCCUCAUCACCUUCUUUUUUUCUCCAUGCUCGGGUAUGUCUUCUUCUUCUUUCUUCUUUUAUCUUCUUAUUUUUUUUUUUAAUUAAUAUGCUUUACGAAAUUGUUUUUCUCUCCUUAGCUUCACUUGCAACUACAUUAAGGUAAGAUUUUUCUUUUUUCUUCUUUUUUCAUGAUUUUUUUCACUAUAUUUGUUUUUUAUUUUAUUUUUAAUUGUUUUUGUUCUUAAUAAUUGUAUAAAUGUUGUUGUGAGAUUUUUUUUUUUUCAUAUGAGAUCAAUUUUUAGUUGAUUUAUUUAUAGGAUUUUUAAAUUUUUAGCAAUUGCAACUUCAUUUUUUUCUUAUGAAUUUUUUUAGUUGAAUUUAUUUUUUUGUUUUAUUUAUUUGUUGCAAAUUUGUUUGAGUUGAUUUUCUUAUUCUCUUUUCCAAGCAUUUUGAGUAUAUAUUAUACAAUGUUGAUUUAUGUUAAUUUAAUUAUUGUAUAAUUUUAUAAAAUGAUUUUUUUAAAAUGUUUUUAAAUAAUUACCGAUGGAAUUUCCGUCGGUAUAUCCCCCGUAAAUCCAUUGGUAAUAAAAAAAUAUUAUUACCAAGGGAUAUACCGAUGAAAUGAAGCGUGUAAUUUAUUUUUUACCAACGGAUUUAUCGACAGAAAAAAAUUACCGAUGAAAGAUUCACCGAUGGAUCAUUUUCGUCGAUGAUUUUGUUGGGAAAUUAAUUACUGAUGGAAUAUGUGUAUUACGCCGACGGAAAAAUUCCAUCGGUAAAACUGUUAAAUCUUGUAGUGAACUACUUAAGCUUUCAAACUAAAGGUAAAGAAUAUCUGGCAUUGGAAAUUCACCGAACUCUUAUGGAACUCAAGAUACUCCUGGUAAUCCAGCUGAUUUUUUUUUUUCAAAUAACUAAUUUUACCAAGUGAUUGUAAUGCUUUUGUUGGUUAAUAUAUUAUGUUAAUUAAUCACCUAUGCAUGCCCACAUGAAAAAAAAAAUUGAAACUAUAAUCAGUAAGGUAUAAUAUAUGGCAGCAAGAAUUGCAGAACAGCAGCAAUUACAAAAAGGAAAAUAAAGUUGGAGAUGCUUUCUUUUUUUCUUUUUCUCCUUUUUCAGUUACAAGGAAAGAGAUAGCUAGCCUUUAGGGAAGGGGUAGUGGGGAUUUGAUGUUCCCCCUUUUCAGCUGCUAUCAGACUAUGAUGAAAAUGAUGUAUCCUCAAAUAAGUGUGAAAAUGAUGCUCCCUCUUAGAGCAUACAUCUCCUUCGAUCUUGUGCCAAAUAUGAAAUGAUCUAAAUAUGUAUUAUGGGAUGUGUUGUAAAAUAGGAAAAUAUUAUGUUUCUCCUUGUAUACAUUUAUCUUGUGUAACAGGUUACACCAUAACAUAUGUACAAUGCCUUAAUCAUAUAAAUAGUAGAGGAGCCUCCCUAAUUUAAGGUGCUCACCAAAUUAUUUCAAAAGUUUGUUUUAACUUGGUAUUAGAGCCUCUCUAUCUUAAACAGGUUUAGGCUUUCUUCUCCUUCACCUGGUCGGCUCAGCCACAAACGUGUUUUCAUUUUUUUUGUCAGGUUCUUCUACUCUCUGUUGCAUAUUCUUCUUUCUGCCACCUGUUCUUCUUCUUUGCCGCAAAUAAUUUUGUUUGCAGACCUUGAUCGGCUGACCUCUCCUCUCUGUCAAAGACGUUCUCAAUCCAGGCGUGCUCAUCUUUUUCCUCUGUUAUUUGUGUGACAGCUCUUCGCAGGUUUUUCAAUCGGUUAUUGCUACUACAAUCUUCCCUGUCACAGUUCAGUUUUUUAGUCAUCUUGCUACUCUUCUCUGUCACGGUUAUUGCUAUGCAUCAAUUAGUUAGUGUUGCUACUAGCAUUAAUGUCAACCCUUCUUCUCCAAAUUCAUUUUCCCCGGUUCCUGGACUCACAACAGCAACCAACACAGCCAUGGCUCAUUUUGUUGCGACCACAGCGCUUAUUCCCCUCUCUAACACCCAGCAUGUUAUUAAUCUCAAACUCACCAACAACAAUUAUUUGUUUUGGCGUAUGCAGAUGAAGCCGUAUCUGAUUGGUCAAGGAGUCUUCUUAUUUGUUGACGGCUCGACUCCAUACCCCUCUCUACACGAUCUGUCCAAUACGGUUUUUGUUGCCUCUGCUACCUUUAAUUAUGGCCCUUCCCAAACGUUUCUGACUUGGAAACAGCAAGACCAGCUUUGUUGUCCUCUCUUUCAGAUGAUGUUCUUCAUCUCGAGGUUGAUUGUCCGACUUCUGCUAAUGUUUGGAGCACACUUGAACAUGCUCUCGCCUCCCCAUCCAAAUCUCGAAUCAUGCAAUUGCAUGGCUCUCUUCAGGAUCUUCGACAAGAUGAUGAUACUGUCACCCUCUACUUGCAACGCAUUAAAGGUUUGUUUGAUGAAUUAGUUAUGAUUGGCAGACCUAUUUCUCUCACUGAUUUCAACUUAUAUGUGUUUUGGGGACUUUGUGGUGAAUUUUGUGAUUUGGUUACGAGUCUGUCACCAAAGUUGACUGUAAAUCCCAAGAUAAUCAAGGCUAGAUUAAAUUAAAGAAAAUAAACUAAACUAAUAAGAAGUGGGGGCAAAAUGAAUACACUUAAAGAAAAUGGGGCUUAAAUGCAAAUAAGAAUAAUUAUAGAGCAUAAAUACUACUCUUCUUACCAAAAACAAAUCUAAAACUAUCGUGAAGAAAGAAUAGAGGGAGUUUUGAUAUCUAUUUUUACAGAUCAAGAGAGAAACGCCAAAUUUCAAGAACCCAUCCAAGAUUAAGGGUUAUAGGUAAAAAUAAACACUGGUGGGCAAGGGAUUAAUAAGAAAAAUUGAACAAGAAAAGAAGAGGGGAGGGUCGGCUGCCAUUAGAAAGAAAAGGAGGGAUCGAGACCUUGAUUCGUACCGGGUAAGAUAUUCUAAACAUGGUCUUAUGAGUUGUUUUAAAGUCCGUUAUGAAUUGAUGCAUGGAUGUUAAAUUAUAUAUUUGAGUUCUAAAACUCCAGAUAUAGUUAAAAAAAAUCUAAGGAGAGGUCAGACAGUAACAGUCCAAGUGUUUAUUUAUGAGCAAUUUUGACUAUCUUAGAGGCAGAACUGGGUUCUCCUUAAAACUAGAACUUGUAGCCUCAUGUCAUAGCUUUCCAACGAAACUAAUCUCGCUUGAAUCGGAGUCCUAUAACUCCAGAUAUUGUUAAAAAUCUUAGGAGAGGUCAGACAGUAACAGUUCAAAAACGAGACAGUAACAGUUGGAUAGUAACAGUCCAAGUGUUUGUUGAUGAGCCAUUUUGACUAUCUUAGAGGCAGAACUGGGUUUUCCUUAAAUAAUAGAACUUGUAGCCUCAUGUCUUAGCUUUCCAACGAGACUAAUCUCGCUUGAAUCGGAGUCCUAUAACUCCAGAUAUGGUUAAACAUCUGAGGAGAUGUCAGACAGUAACAGUUCAAAAACGAGACAGUAACAGUUGGACAGUAACAGUCCAAGUGUUUGUUGAUGAGCCAUUUUGACUGUCUUAGAGGCAGAACUGGGUUCUCUUUAAAAUCAUAGAACUUCUAGCCUCAUGUCUUAACUUUCCAACGAGACUAAUCUCGCUUGAAUCGGAGUCCUAUAACUCCAGAUAUGGUUAAACAUCUGAGGAGAGGUCAGACAGUAACAGUUUAAAAACGAGACAGUACCAGUUGGACAAUAACAGUCCAAGUGUUUGUUGAUGAGCCAUUUUGACUAUCUUAGAGGUAGAACUGGGUUCUCCUUAAAUCAUAAAACUUGUAGCCUCAUGUCUUAGCUUUCCAACGAGACUAAUCUUGCUUGAAUCGGAGUCCUAUAACUCCAGAUAUGGUUAAAAAUCUGAGUAGAGGUCAAACAGUAACAAUUCAAAAACAAGACAGUAACGAUUGGAGAGUAACAGUCCAAGUGUUUGUUGAUGAGCCAUUUUGACUAUCUUAGAGGCAGAACUGGGUUCUCCUUAAAUUAUAGAACUUCUAGCCUCAUGUCUUCCUUUCCAACGAGACUAAUCUCGCUUGAAUCGGAGUCCUAUAACUCCAGAUAUGGUUAAAAAUCUGAGGAGAGGUCAGACAGAAACAAUUCAAAAACGAGACAGUAACGGUUGGACAGUAACAGUCUAAGUGUUUGUUGAUGAGCAAUUUUGGCUAUCUUAGAGGCAGAACUGGGUUCUCCUCAAAUCAUAGAACUUGUAUCCUCAUGUCUUAGCUUUCCAACGAGACUAAUCUCGCUUGAAUUGGAGUCCUAUAACUCCAGAUAUGGUUAAAAAUCUGAGUAGAGGUCAGACAGUAACAUUUCAAAAACGAGAGUAACAGUCCAAGUGUUUGUUGAUGAGCCAUUUUGACUGUCUUAGAGGCAAAACUGGGUUCUCCUUAAAUUAUAGAACUUCUAGCCUCAUGUCUUCCUUUCCAACGAGACUAAUCUCGCUUGAAUCGGAGUCCUAUAACUCCAUAUAUGGUUAAAAAUCUGAGGAGAGGUCAGAUAGUAACAGUUCAAAAACGAGACAGUAACAGUUGGACAGUAACAGUCCAAGUGUUUGUUGAUGAGCAAUUUUGACUCUCUUAGAGGCAGAAAUGGGUUCCCUUUAAAUAUAGAACUUGUAGCCUCAUGUCUUAGCUUUCCAACGAGACUAAUCUUGCUUGAAUCGGAGUCUUAUAACUCCAGAUAUGGUUAAACAUCUGAGGAGAGGUCAGACAGUAACAGUUCAAAAACGAGACAGUAACAGUUGGACAGUAACAGUCCAAGUAUUUGUUGAUGAGCUAUUUUGACUCUCUUAGAGGCAGAACUGGGUUCUCCUUAAAAAUAGAACUUGUAGCCUCAUGUCUUAGCUUUCCAACGAGUCUAAUCUCGCUUGAAUCGGAGUUCUAUAACUCCAGAUAUGGUUAAAAAUCCGAGGAGAUGUCAGACAGUCAUAUUUCAAAAACGAGACAGUAACAGUUGGACCGUGACGGUCCAAUUAUAAAGAAAGGAAUGAUAACUGGGGUUGGAAAAAGAACAACAAUAAUAAUGAGUGAAAUGAAAAGAACAUAAAAUAUUAAGAAAUGUCUGAAAGAAAGACUUAUUGGUUGUUGAUAUGGUUAUUAUAAAACAUAUCCUUGAGUGAGGAAAAUUUAUGAGAUAAACCUGUGAUUUGCAGGAGGAACCACAGGCGUGGUGCAACAGCAGCAGCAGGGGAGCACGAGUAGAGCUUCUAUUGCUAGUAGGUGAAUCGCACCUUUACCUUCUAGUUAAAUUCCAUGAUUUAAUAUAUAUUACCGAUGUGAAAUGUGAAUUACUGAAUGUAUGUGUACUCAAGGGGAAAAGUUGUUGUGUGAAUUGCUAAGUGAUGAAAUUAUCACUGACAAAUGAAAUAUGAGAAGUGUGAUUUAAGGUGUAAACUAACAUAUAUUUAGUGUAUGUUAGGAUCCCGGGUAAAGGGAUCGCCAUGUUUGGACUAGCAUACAUUUAGUGUAUGUUAGGAUCCCAGGUAAGGGGAUCACCUUGCAUCGACUCCUACGGGAUAAUGAUGAUACCAGUAAAAGGGGUAUCGGUAAUGUGUUAAACAAAAAUAAUCAUGUUUGAUCUUAUAAAGUCUAGAAUGGAGGUUAAUAGUUAAAGAGGGAACGGUUAUUAAUAGUUGAAUAAGGAAGAGAUUCUAAUGAAAACCAGAAAUGAGAAGUGAACAAAAUAUGAAUGCAUGUUACCCUGUUGAAAUUGUUAGAUAUUCGUAUUGUUAUAUUUAUGUGAUAUUCAUCUUUCAAUAAUAUGUAUUUUGUUUCAAGAUCAUCACAUGCACGACAGGAGUAGAUCCUAGCAUAUGUUCCCUUCUUGUAAUUUAGGUUCUAGAGGGUAUACCCUUGUAUUUUGUAAACAUGAAAAUGUUCGUAUAACUUAAUUUGUAUAAUUAAUGUUUAAACUUGAUUGAAUGAACUUAAUCUCUGUAGUUCAUAUAACCAUUUUUCGUGUCUAUGUAUUUAUUUUUUAUCCAUCCAUAAUGAUAUUUUGUUAUAUAAUGUAUAUUAUGAAUAUUGUGGGUAAUAGGUGUGAGAAUAUUUAUGGAAUUUGAAACCCAAGAUGAUUGGGUCAGGAUUAAGUUAUGAGAUGCAAGUUAUUAAAAGUGUAGAUAGGUUACAUGUAGAUAACUUGGGACCUUUCGGUAUAGGGGGGACUCCGUCGAAAUUUAGGUAGAUUUUAAUAUGAAAACCAUGAAUAUAUAUAUAUAAGAGAAAAAAAAUUAUUACUCUGCUUUCGGUUGACAUGAGAGUGUUGUUUUUAUCCCGGAAUGGGGGAUGUUACAGUUGGUAUCAGAGCCCAGGUUGCUAUUCCGGGGACAGGAAUGAUUAUAUGAUUUUGAAUGUGUUUCAGGAUGGUGAGAACAAGGCAAUGAGCCAGGAUUGAUCCAUCCCCAGUUCAGGGAAGUGACCAGAGUUUUCGAAAAGAAAGUGAUCCAGACGAGGAUCCCUUGGCAAACACCUCCUCUCAUAUACCUGCAACAUCAGUGUACUCUGAAGCUGGCAAGUCAGUGAGACUUCGGAAUGAUUCGUUGUCCCGUUAGGAAAAUAUGUCCAUGCCCGAGGUAUCAGACAGACAGGGGGUGAUAAUAUACCCCCACUAGUGGAACCGGUUGCUGGAUCAAACCCAUUUUCAGAUCCUGCUUUUAUGGAACAUAUAGUGAGAGCUGUAGCAGCAGGAAUGGUAAUGGGAGCCUCCGGUAUAACUCCUAGAUCAGGGGUAGUCACCAUAGUGCAAUGGGUGAAGGGUAUGAGAGAGAUGGGUUGUAUCACUUACGGUGGUGAAGAGGAUGCUGAGGUUGCUAGGCAUUGGCUGAGGAAGGUGGAAAGAGUUAUAAAUCAGAUGCAGGUGCCAGAGGAGCUACAGGUGGAUUGCGUGACUCAGCUAUUGGUUGAUAGUGCCCACUCUUGGUGGGAGACCAUUAGAGAGAGGAGAUCAGGGGAGGCAUUGAGAUGGAGGGACUUUCAUGAAGAGUUUGAGGAGAGGUACUAUUCCUGGGAACAUAGAAGGGAGAAAGAACAGGAGUUCUUGGAAUUGAGGCAGGGAGAUUUGACAGUUCUUGAGUAUGAGAGGAGAUUUCAGGACUUAGCAGCUUUUGCCUCCACUUACCUUCCCACAGAGCGCCACAAGGUGGAGAGGUUCUGUGAUGGACUGAGGCGGGAACUGAGGAUGAUAUUGAUAGCCAUGCAGUUUCAGUCUGUGCGGGAAUUGCUACGGGCAACUCAGGGUAUGGAGAGGGUAAUAAGGGAUACCCCAAAACCAGUGGUCGAGCCAAGUCAGGUAAUUGGAGCUAAGAGGAGAGAUUUUGAGUUUUUGACUGGGAGACCUCCUCUCCCAAAGAAAGAGAAGAGCGGGCAAUCAUCAAGUCAAUUCCAGAGAAGGGGCGGGAGUUUCAUCCUAAUAGGGAGCUCAAGAGGAUCUAGACUGCUCAGUGGAAGAGGAGCUUGGGGAGGACAGUCUCGACAAGGAGUCAAAACUGCUGGAGGGUCUACAGAGCAAAAGGGUGAAUCUUCUAAACCUAGUUUAAUCCCCGAAACUCGCAACUUGUAAAAUCCUAGACCCGGACUCAACCAAAAAGCUCAAUUCUUAACCAAUUUAAUUUUACAGGAUGAAAUAAAAAAAUAUCAAUUUUUUAAAAAAAAUAAAGUAUAAAAAAUAGCAAUCAAAAGAAUAAGGAUGAAAAUUGAUAGGAGAAAAAAAUAGAGAUGAAAUCAUAAAAAAAAAAUCAAUUUCAAAAAUUUUCUCAAAUAGAAAUCAAAAGAAUAAGGACAAAAUUUGACAGAUGAAAAAUCAGUGGAUGAAAUUGAAGAAAAAUUAAAUUUUAUAAAUUAUAUCAAAUAAAAAGAAAUAGUAAUUAAAAUAACAUGAUCAAAUCUAAAAAAAAAACAAAUUGAAGAGAUGCUUUGAAAUUUAGAAGAGUCGGGCAUGAAAAUUGAGGAAAAAGUAAAAAAAGAGAAAAGAGUCAUGUGCCACCUAGGGAUGAAGGAGACAUCAAGACAAUUCAAACAAUAUCCUAGAAGCCAUUGCUAGGCCACCAGACUCCCACUAAUACCCUGUUAGAAGAUCAUGAGAGCUUCUCACUCGGUGUCGAAUGUGCCAACCAGUUUUUUAAAAUAAACUUUUAUAUUUUAUAAAGAUAACUAGUUGCCCCUGAGUAAACUUGGUUAGAAAACAAAUAGGAUAAAAAUAUGAAAAAUCCCCUAGUCAUCAUUUUAAUAAUUUUUGCUUUUAAAUGUAAUUAAUCAUUUUAUUAUGCUAAAAAUAAAAAAAAAUACAAAAAAGCCCCUAAACGACAGCUAAAUAUUUUUUUUUCUUUUAAGCGUAAUUCAAUAUUUUAAUAUGCUUAAAAUGUAUGAGAAGAAUGAUUUUUUCCCGGUCAAUCUAAUAAUAAACAAUUGAUCUCGUGAAAAAGACAGUAAUGCCUCCAAUAGAAAGUUUAUUGAGCUUUUUUAUAAGGGUAAAAUUGUCGUUAUAUUGUUCAAAUCUAUAGUAUUUUGUAUCUAUGUGAACAGUAAAGCCUUGAUCCAUUUUAGUUUUUUUUUAAUAAUUUAUUUGAUUAUUAUGUAAAAGGGCAAAGUGCAUCCUAUUAUACAAUCCAAGAUUUAAUGGAUCCUUUGAGAAAAAAAACUUAUUAUACUACUAGACCAACAUCCAGGGGAGGGUAUGUUUUACAAGGGAAAUUAGAAACAAAUAUUAAAUUAUCUUGAUAUAUCUUUAUCAGAUUAGAACCUCCAAGACAAAAUUGACAAUCUAAUCUAUUUUAAAUUAAUCCAUAUAGUUCAACUCUCUCUCUUUCUUUUAUUUUUUUUUAACUUUUGGUUUGACUAAGGUUGCUGACAUAAACAAUGAAUGUGCAAGCAAGAUUUUAAGUUUAGUCUCACAAGAAACUUUGGAUUGAUUCGUACCCAAACGUUCAAUUGAUAUGUGAACAAACUAAAUCAUAUGUCAUAAGGUUUAAUGGCUAUUAUUGGAAUUAAUUUAAUACUAGUAGUUCCUAUACAUGUGCUUAAAAUAAUAUAUAAAAGAGAUUCAAGAAGUUAGCACAAAUGUGAAAAUAAUAAAGAAAGAUUAAAAAAAAAUUUAACUCAAGAAAAAAAGUUUUUAUUUAUAAUAAAUUGACAAGCUAAGGGAUACUUAGAAAAACAAAAAAAAAAAAAAAAAAGUUUGAUCAGCGCAGUGGCAAAAACACCUCAAGUGUGUUUUCUAGCUAGACGACCAUUUUAACUCGAAACAUUUUUCCAUUAUUCUUUAUCAACAAAUUGGACUGUACAAUGCAAAGUUUUUAUUUAUAAUAAAUAAACCCCAGACAGCAUGAUUGCAUAACAUGGCAUUUCUUUAUUUAGCUAAAGUAUUAAAAAAAAAAAGAUCGAUCAAGACUUGUGAAAAUAGUGAUCCAACUAAGCUUUGCUGGAGAUGAUUUCCACUUCAAUUUCUUUAUCUCAUGUGCAGUGGAAGUGGUGGAAUGCUUUGUUCGUGCCUGAAGAAAUUAUCAGGAUCAACUUUGGUCUUCACAUGCACCAACCUGUAGAAGUUAUCCUUGAAGUACUUAGUACCAAAAGCACUCGCUUCAACAAAACUUGUGUUAGAAUUGUUGUUCAUGCCCAAAUCAAGAUCCCUGUAAUUCGCAUAUGCUUCCCUUGGGUUCUUCGAGACAUAAGGUUUCAUGUAAUUGUAAACCAUCCUAGUCCAAUCUAUAUGCUUUGCAACGUUUUCCUUUGCAUCUUGCCAACCGGUAUAGUACAGAAUCAUGAACUUGGUACCUUUUCUAUGAGGGAAAGGAGUCUGAGAUUCUGAAAUUUGGCUCAUCAUUCCACCAUAAGGAGUAAACACUACUAGAGGACUCUCUACUUCAAAUAACUUCUCCCAUAACCCUUCAAGUGCCUUUUCAGAAACGGGUUUUUUGGCAUAGUCCGAUUUGGCUUUGAAAUACCGCCUGUUCGGGUCUUUUCUUUGAAGGAAAACUUCAGGAGGAGUAUUAUUUUGGAGCAAAGCCAUAAAUACAGUGGAAUUGAUCCAGUUUGUUUCGAUACAAUCUUUUCGUGUCAAACCCAAUUCAGGAAAGCUGCGCUGCAUUAUCUGAAGAAGCCUCCUGGCAUCACCAAGAAACAAGGAAUUGUAAGAAGUAGCAAUAGUUCUUUUACCUUGGGAGGUGACGUUAGCUGUCUGAAUGAGUACUUUGAUGAAAAGAUCCUCGUCUAGUUUAUCAGCAAUUUCUUGCCAUCUAUAAAGGAUCUUAGUUGCACCUUGUUCUAAGGUCUUGGUAACGGUAAAUACUGUCACGGUUGAUGGUACGGGAACCAAUUUUAACUUCCAGGCGGUGACAAUUCCGAAGCUCCCCCCUGCACCUCCUCUGAUGGCCCAGAAAAGAUCUUCGCCCAUGAGUUUUCGGUUGAGAAGUCUACC